rnacentral:lncRNA from 1 species
CGCUGGUGCUCUUGAUAGAUUCUCGCAGCACUUGCGUCCCCAGGGCAGCCCCAGGAUGGGUGCUGGGCAGGGUGGUGCCCAGCCUGGCACCGCGGCUUCCUGCCUGGAUUGGCUCCUGGCUCCAGAGCUAGAGGCUCAGGAAAUCCCACAGGGGUAUGGCGUUGACGGUGGAUGUGGCCGGGCCAGCGCCCUGGGGCUUCCGUAUCACA